GGAGAGGUGGCAGAGCGGUCGAUUGCACCGGUCUUGAAAACCGGCAGGGCUUCACGGCCCUCGUGGGUUCGAAUCCCACCCUCUCCGCCA
rnacentral:tRNA from 1 species